AAAUUGAAGAGUUUGAUCAUGGCUCAGAUUGAACGCUGGCGGCAGGCCUAACACAUGCAAGUCGAGCGGAAACGACACUAACAAUCCUUCGGGUGCGUUAAUGGGCGUCGAGCGGCGGACGGGUGAGUAAUGCCUAGGAAAUUGCCUUGAUGUGGGGGAUAACCAUUGGAAACGAUGGCUAAUACCGCAUGAUGCCUACGGGCCAAAGAGGGGGACCUUCGGGCCUCUCGCGUCAAGAUAUGCCUAGGUGGGAUUAGCUA
rnacentral:rRNA from 1 species